GACAGUACAACUGAAACCAAACACCCAAGCAGUGUAGAUUUUAAGCGACGAGGCUACGCUUUCACCAACACCCAGGUUCCCAGUGGAUGUGUGUUGACUAAAAGAACACCUUCCGCUUCCUGCAAAACACCAACUUUCUUCUGCCUUGUGUCCUUCGCCCGGAAGGUCUCCCACAUUCUCUUCCGUGUGUGUAAAUUCUGCUCUUCCUUCCACGGCCUGGGAAACCACUUCGCACCACAGAGCCUACACCGCCCUGCAGUCCUGGCGCCCUUCUCUGACCUCCUCAAUUCAAGAUUCGAAUCCAAGUUUCUGUUUGCCUGAUCUGUUUUACCUUCCACUGCAAAGUGAUCUGGAAAGUCGGGAUUAGACCACUACCCCUGAGAGAAACGGCUUGGGCAGAUGAGACAGUGCCUCUGUUUCUUUGGGCUUUGUUUGCUCCUAAGGUAAGUAUAAGGUCACAGAAGAAAGAACACUCCUUCCACGUUGAUGGUGCCGAACCCUUGUAAUUUACCGGUGAUGUCUUACUCACUCAUGAACUAUCCUGGGUCUGAGUCACACACAGUGGGGCCGUUAAGAGGAGGGGAAAAAAAAAAAUUCUUGAAAUAAAUGAGUUACCUUCUGGCCAGUGA